rnacentral:rRNA from 1 species
UACGAAGGGGGCUAGCGUUGUUCGGAUUUACUGGGCGUAAAGCGCACGUAGGCGGAUCGUUAAGUUGGAGGUGAAAUCCCAGGGCUCAACCCUGGAACUGCCUUCAAUACUGGCGAUCUAGAGUCCGGAAGAGGUGAGUGGAACUCCUAGUGUAGAGGUGGAAUUCGUAGAUAUUAGGAAGAACACCAGUGGCGAAGGCGGCUCACUGGUCCGGUACUGACGCUGAGGUGCGAAAGCGUGGGGAGCAAACAGG